rnacentral:rRNA from 1 species
GAUGAACGCUGGCGAUCUGCUUAACACAUGCAAGUCGAACGGAAGUAGCAAUACUUUAGUGGCGGACGGGUGAGUAACACGUAAGAAUCUGCCCCUAGGACGGGAAAAACAGUUGGAAACGACUGCUAAUUCCCGAUCAGCCGAAAGGUGAAAAGAGUUUCGCCUAGGGAUGAGCUUGCGGCUGAUUAGCUAGUUGGUAGGGUAAGAGCCUACCAAGGCGACGAUCAGUAGCUGGUCUGAGAGGAUGAGCAGCCACACUGGGACUGAGACACGGCCCAGACUCCUACGGGAGGCAGCAGUGGGGAAUUUUCCGCAAUGGGCGAAAGCCUGACGGAGCAAGACCGCGUGGGGGAGGAAGGUUCUUGGAUUGUCAACCCCUUUUCUCAGGGAAGAAGUUCUGACGGUACCUGAGGAAUCAGCAUCGGCUAACUCCGUGCCAGCAGCCGCCGUAAGAC